rnacentral:rRNA from 1 species
UCGAGGAUCUUCGGCAAUGGGGGCAACCCUGACCGAGCGACGCCGCGUGUGCGACGAAGGCCUUCGGGUUGUAAAGCACUGUCGAGGGGGAGGAAAGCCCGAAAGGGUGUGACCUAUCCCUGGAGGAAGCACGGGCUAAGUUCGUGCCAGCAGCCGCGGUAAGACGAACCGUGCGAACGUUGUUCGGAAUCACUGGGCUUAAAGGGCGCGUAGGCGGGCCGCCGCGUCCGGGGUGAAAUCCUCCCGCUCAACGGGAGAACGGCCUCGGAUACGGGCGGUCUGGAGGCGGGUAGGGGCACGCGGAACUGUGGGUGGAGCGGUGAAAUGCGUUGAGAUCCACAGGAACUCCGGUGGCGAAGGCGGCGUGCUGGACCCGAUCUGACGCUGAGGCGCGAAAGCCAGGGGAGCGAACG